CGACCCUCAAGUAUAACUUGGUGUUGGGUUAAGUCCCUUAAUUUUUAGGGACUAACCCCUAACUCGUAGGCGGUCAUCGCCCUUUUUCCCCGAGCGUAGCAGGCUCACGCACUCGCUUAGGGAUAGGCGGUUUGAACUCGCUAAAUAAAAAUCUUUUUUAAAG
rnacentral:misc_RNA from 1 species